rfam:Picea glauca, whole genome shotgun sequence.
ACAUGCAUAGAACAUAGCGUUAAUGCACCAAAUCCCAUUAGAAGUUUGUAGUUAAGUGUGCUCGAGAUAGAGUAGUACCGGGAUGGGUGAUUGCCUGGGAAGUCCUAGUAUUUUACAUGCU